UACAGAGGUGGCAAGCGUUGUUCGGAAUUACUGGGCGUAAAGGGCGCGUAGGCGGUCUUUUAAGUCUUGUGUGAAAUCCCUCGGCUCAACUGAGGAACUGCACGGGAUACUGGAAGACUUGAGUUCGGGAGAGGGAAGCGGAAUUCCGGGUGUAGCGGUGAAAUGCGCAGAUAUCAGGAGGAACACCGGUGGCGAAGGCGGCCUUCUGGGCCUGUCCUGACGCUGGAGGCGCGAAAGCUGGGGGAGCGAACAGG
rnacentral:rRNA from 1 species